rnacentral:rRNA from 1 species
CCUACGGGAGGCUGCAGUGAGGAAUAUUGGUCAAUGGACGAGAGUCUGAACCAGCCAAGUAGCGUGAAGGAUGACUGCCCUAUGGGUUGUAAACUUCUUUUAUAUGGGAAUAAAAUGUUCCACGUGUGGGAUUUUGUAUGUACCAUAUGAAUAAGGAUCGGCUAACUCCGUGCCAGCAGCCGCGGUAAUACGGAGGAUCCGAGCGUUAUCCGGAUUUAUUGGGUUUAAAGGGAGCGUAGGUGGAUUGGUAAGUCAGUUGUGAAAGUUUGCGGCUCAACCGUAAAAUUGCAGUUGAAACUGGCAGUCUUGAGUACAGUAGAGGUGGGCGGAAUGCGUGGUGUAUCGGUGAAAUGCUUAGAUAUCACGAAGAACUCCGAUUGCGAAGGCAGUUCACUGGACUGCAACUGACACUGAGGCUCGAAAGUGUGGGUAUCAAACAGGAUUAGAUACCCGUGUAGUC